AAACAAAGUUGAACAAUAGUCUCCACGGCGGAAAUUCACGGAAUAGAUGCACCAAUAUAUUUUUAAUUAUUUGCAUAACAAAGGACAAUCGGUAAGAAGUGACAACUAUGGCAGACAAAGAAGACCAUUUGCCAGAAGUUGAUUACACUAAAGGGUACAAAAUCAUUUAUUAUGGGGGUGACCUGAUUGAAGCGUAAUGAUAAGGUGGGAACUACACAUUAGAACUUGAUACUGUCGUUGAGAACGAGGCUGGUAAUUGAAGACUUUGUGAGUAGAUUCUGUUGCUGAGGUGAGCUACCGCAUUGUUCGUGGAGGCAGCCAUUUCAGCUUUAACUAGUUUAUUUCUAGUUAUUUCUUUUAUUUUGGGUUUACAUGCCCGACACUCAAACUCAUGUAACUCUGUUAGAUGCUCCAUGGUCUUAGCGUGCGAUGUGGGCUAGAGAUUCUUUUUAUCUUAGCGUUGAUUGGUUUUCAUAAAUCGAUUAUGGAUUUGGUUGGCGACUAUUUCGCAUUUUUAAUAUUAAUAACGU